rnacentral:rRNA from 1 species
AACGAACGCUGGCGGCAUGCCUAACACAUGCAAGUCGAACGAGACCUUCGUGUCUUGUUGCGCAGGGGGGGGUGACGCCGGGGAAGCUGCCCUUAGGUUCGGAAUCACUCCCCGUAAGGUAUGCUCAUACCGGAUGAUGUCAUCGGACCUAAGAUUUAUCGCGAUUGGAUGGGCCUGGGUUGGUUUAGCUGGUUGGUAGUGUAAAAGCCUACCAAGGCGACGUUCCAUAGCUGGUCUGAGAGGAUGAUACGCCACACUGGGACUGAGACACGGGCCAGACUCCUACGGGAGGCAGCAGUAGGGAAUAUUGGACAAUGGGCGAAAGCCUAAUCCAGCAAUGCCGCGUAAGUGAUGAAGGCCUUAGGGUUGUAAAGCUCUUUUACCCGGGAUGAUAAUGACAGUACCGGGAGAAUAAGCACCGGCUAACUCCGUG